ensembl:lncRNA
GUGAGGUAGGGUCGUACUCUACGGAUGUACCUCUUCCUGUGUGAGGUAGGGUCCUACUCUACGGAUGUUCCUCUUCCUGUGUGAGGUAGGGUCGUACUCUACGGAUCUUCCUCUUCCUGUGUGAGGUAGGGUCUCUUCCUGUGUGAGGUAGGGUCUCUUCCUGUGUGAGGUAGGGUCGUACUCUACGGAUGUUCCUCUUCCUGUGUGAGGUAGGGUCGUACUCUACGGAUGUUCCUCUUCCUGUGUGAGGUAGGGUCUCUUCCUGUGUGAGGUAGGGUCGUACUCUACGGAUGUACCUCUUCCUGUGUGAGGUAGGGUAGUACUCUACAGAUAUUGUAGAGCAUGAACCUGCUUUGAUGUUUGCAGAGAACGACAGGGUAUUGUUCUGGGUCACGCCAAGGUUCUUUGCACUCUGGGAGGACGACACUGUGGAGUUGCCUUCUCCAGACUUUCCACUUUG